rnacentral:lncRNA from 1 species
CAACAACGUCAUGUGUAAAAAAACAUAUAUGAAGUUUAAAAAAAAGGGUGCCUAGAAUUAGAAUAAAAAAAGGUAACAAAUCUUGUGAUCAAAUCACAAGAAGACGUAAAAAGGUCAAAGGUGCAUUAUUUAUUUUUUAACAAAGGGUGGAGUACCAUGGAGUACACAUGUCACAUUAAAGUACAUGUGUUAUGAUGCAACAGCGUCAUGUGUAAAAAAACACAUAUGAAGUUUAAAAAAAAGAGUGCUUAGAAUUAGAAUAAAAAAAGGUAACAAAUCUUGUGAUCAAAGCACAAGAAGACGUAAAAAGGUCAAAGGUGCAUUAUUUGUUUUUUAACAAAGGGUGGAGUACCAUGGAGUAGACAUGUCACGUUAAAGUACAUGUGUUAUGAUGCAACAGCGUCAUGUGUAAAAAAACAUAUAUGAAGUUUAAGAAAAAGGGUGCCUAGAAUUAGAAUAAAAAAAAGGUAACAAAUCUUGUGAUCAAAGCACAAGAAGACAUAAAAAGGUCAAAGGUGCAUUAUUUAUUUUUUAACAAAGGGUGGAGUACCAUGGAGUACAUGUGUCACAUUGAAGUACAAGUGUUAUAAUGCAUGGGCAUCAUGUGUAAAAAUGCAUAUAUGUUGUUUAAAAAAAUGGUGCCUAGAAUUAGAAUUCAAAAAGGAACAAAUCCCUACAAAUCAAUCACCACCUAAAUCCAUUGGCCCCCAUCUCACCCCGCCCCAACAACACUAAUGGUACCACCUCAUCUCAUUGAAAUCUAAUGUUGAUAGAAUUGGUCCCCAUUUUAGUUUCUUUCUGGUUGAUUCUAAAGACCACAACUCUUGUUUCAGGUGCUAAAGUUCAUAGCACCACCAAUGAUGUUGUUUUAUUAGGAGAAAGUCCACUCCUACCUUUUGCUUCACCU